UAUAUCCCGCUCGCUGAUUUGUGCUUCCUUCAAUUAAGUUCUUCAUUUCACAGGCUUUUCUUGCUGCAUUUGUGUUUCUUCUUCAGUUAAGUUCUUCUUCAUUUCACAAGCUCUUCUUCCUUUCACAGGUCUUUCUUCUUCAUUUCAUUUAUGGAAAUUGAUUGGUAAUUUACCCUACGCCCUUCGUCCUUCGUUACUGAGUGUGCGUCGUUCGCCCCGUGCCUCGUCAUUGUCGCUUGAAUUUCCAGAAAUCGUUGAGUGUGGGCGUCUUCGUUCGUUGCCUGUAAGAACAAAAUCGUUGAGCAAUGCAAGGAGGGAGCGAGGAUCGGAUGUGCCGUCAGCGCUUCCAGGAACUGUAAGCCUACGUGGUGGAAGGCUCUGGCAGGCCUCACACUUCACGAUCUGAAGGAACGGGAGGAGUGCGAAGUGCAGGAUAGGGCGGAUUGUUUCGCCGUGGCUAAGGAGAAAUGUACAGGCUUCGCCAGGGAUAAGUGUUUGGUUCCCUUUAGGGAUGCAAGGAUUUGGGUUGCGAAAGGGGUUUUGAGUUCCAAGGGUGUUGGGAAGUUGAUUUGUUGGGGAUCGGUGCCUGUGAAUGGGAGGAACAUGUGGUUGAUGAAUCAAGGUUUGGGAAAAAAAUGUUUCUAUCAAGAGGAUUCUAUCAAGGUUCAUCAACAGAUACCAAUAUACGGUGAAGUUGAGAAACGAUAUAUUCAUGAUCCAUUACUUCCUUAGGCCACUAUUAUCAUGGGAGCUAGUUUUGUCUAAAAUUUUUGUCCCCCAUGGAAUGGCAUGUAGCACCUAGAAACACCACUGGCUUUUCUUUGUCCUUAUGGAAAAAUGCUUGGAAUGCUUUGGAUGUUGUCGGUGUUGGAGACAUCCUCCGCCGCUACCAUCAACAGCUCCAUGGGAUUGUCACCACUUCAUUGGUUACAGGGAAACAAAUAGAAGUCAAGUCUUUCAAACCAACAGAAAACCAAGAGUAUGUAUACUGUGAGAUCCCUACAUUUUAUUAUAGAUAUCUUUAUUCUUUCACAAGUGAUGUAUAAUCAAUUAGUAAGAAUUUAUUUUAAGCAAUCUUGUAGUAUAGAAAAGUAUUCAAUCAACAACAUGUUGAGCCUAGGGUAAGGAGGGUGGCAUUGAAUCGUGGUGUUGAGUACUUGGAGCA